rnacentral:rRNA from 1 species
CGGGUGAGUAAUGCGUGACCAACCUCGCCCCACUGCUCCAGAAUAGCUCUUGGAAACGGGUAGGGUAAUGCUGGAUGCUCCAACUUGACGCAUGUCUUGUUGGGAAAGUGUUUAGUGGCAUGGGAUGGGGUCGCGUCCUAUCAGCUUGUAGGCGGGGUAAUGGCCCACCUAGGCUUCGACGGGUAGCCGGCCUGAGAGGGCGGACGGCCACAUUGGGACUGAGAUACGGCCCAGACUCCUACGGGAGGCAGCAGCC